rnacentral:rRNA from 1 species
GAUGAACGCUGGCGGCGUGCCUAACACAUGCAAGUCGAGCGAUUUACUUCGGUAAAGAGCGGCGGACGGGUGAGUAACGCGUGGGUAACCUGCCCUGUACACACGGAUAACAUACCGAAAGGUAUGCUAAUACGAGAUAAUAUACUUUUAUCGCAUGGUAGAAGUAUCAAAGCUUUUGCGGUACAGGAUGGACCCGCGUCUGAUUAGCUAGUUGGUAAGGUAAAGGCUUACAAAGGCGACGAUCAGUAGCCGACCUGAGAGGGUGAUCGGCCACAUUGGAACUGAGACACGGUCCAAACUCCUACGGGAGGCAGCAGUGGGGAAUAUUGCACAAUGGGCGAAAGCCUGAUGCAGCAACGCCGCGUGAGUGAUGAAGGCCUUCGGGUCGUAAAGCUCUGUCCUCAAGGAAGAUAAUGACGGUACUUGAGGAGGAAGCCCCGGCUAACUACGUGCCAGCCGCCGCCGUAA